CUGGAUUUGCAGACGAAAAUGGAAGGUACUGUGACGAGACCAAUCUCGCCACUGUGCAUUGGAGGAGCCUGGUUGCCCGCCUGCUGCCUUUAGACUAUGGCCCCAUGUUGAAACGCUUGAUUUUCCCCUGCGAAGACACGAAAGCCGGGUCAUUCGGUGCUGGCCCUGUUUGAGCGGUGAUACCCCAGAUAGCUAUGCCAUGGAG